UACGUAGGGUGCAAGCGUUGUCCGGAAUUAUUGGGUGUAAAGAGCUCGUAGGCGGUUUGUUGCGUCGGCUGUGAAAACCUAAGGCUCAACCUUGGGCUUGCAGUGGGUACGGGCAGACUAGAGUGCGGUAGGGGUGACUGGAAUUCCUGGUGUAGCGGUGGAAUGCGCAGAUAUCAGGAGGAACACCGAUGGCGAAGGCAGGUCACUGGGCCGCAACUGACGCUGAGGAGCGAAAGCGUGGGGAGCGAACAGG
rnacentral:rRNA from 1 species